ACUUGAGCAUAUCCUGUAAUGUAUCGAAAACCUGUUUGGCCAUCAGUCAUUAUCUCUGAGUUCUAAAAGUUGUACCUUGUCCUAGUGAGGCCGAAAUUGGUUUCAUCUGAAAUAGCCAGCUCGAUUCGGAUUUGGAGGAGUCGAAAUCCUAGUAGAUGUAACAACUCUUUGGACUCUACGGUGAUGCUUUUCAAUCUAGUAUGCAGGAUAUGACGAUAACCAAAAGAGGGAGAGGUAGACCCCGAGGUGGAAGAUCAUGUGCUCAAGGUAGAUCGUCGUGCGAAACACAAGUCAGAAACACAGUGCCCAUUUCUACCUUGAACCCUAGAGACGAGAUGGGAGGUGACUCAACCGAGCCACCUGCAAUGACAGAAUUUCCCAAUGCCAGAGACAAUUCUCCAAGAAACAGAAAUGAUAUAGUAUAUUCAGAAGUACUUGCACGGAAACAUGUUCGUGGACCAUCAAAGUGCACAUAAUUUGAUAAGGUCUGGAAACAUGGGAAAAAAUCUUUGAAAAUCAAGGAUGGGGAGACAGCCCCUUGCUGUGAGAACACUAUGUUGUAUACAACAAGGGUUGCUAGGAUACUAAAGCACCAUGGUGACCUUAGUCAUGCUAGUUGGCACGAUGUACCAAUUAAUGAAAAGGAUGAAUUGGUAACUGGUGUUCAGGUAACAUCUGAACAUUUUAUGAGAAUAGAUUGAACGCAUUGGGUUAUCAUUAAUCUCCCACCAUGAAAAAAUGUUAAUACAUUGUGGUCUGUAUAUUAAUUAUGAUGGUUUCUCAUUGAUGUUUCGGCUGAUUUCAUCCUAGAUUGGACAAAAAAAAAAUCAUCGCUUAACAGUAAUGAAGACAUUCCGGAAGAGAUUCAUUGUAAUACGAUAUAAGCUCCAUAAGAUUUACAAGAAAUUCGGGAAUACGGAAGAAGCACUUGCGAAGAGGCCAUCGUGGUUGAACCCUAGUGUUUGGGUAAAGUUAUGUACGAGAUGAUCAAACGAUGAGUUUAAGGGGCUAUCGGACUGGAAUAAAUGUAAUAGGCAGAAGCAACAAAUGAAUCAUAUUGCAGGAAGAACCUCAUUUGUGCAUCUAAUGGAACUAAGGGUAGACAUCCCCAACAUUUGUCAUUGUUGUGUUUAUAUUGUUUGGUGUCAUAUUUCUUGGUUUCCUUACAUCAAAUGGAUGAUUCAUUUGCAGAGUGAGACUGAUAGCCAUUUAGUUGAUUUCUUUAAAGACAUUAGGUGAUCAAAGAAGAAAGUCAAAUUUGUUACUCCCUUGACUAAAGAGAAUUACGUAUUUAUACUUCCAUUAGAACUGCAGGAAUUUUUUAAUUUAGUUGUUUAUUGAUGUCAAUAAUCUCUUGCUUUGGUUCAUAUUUUUCUAUAGAAAGAGAUGUCAUUAAAGUAGGAUGAGCUGGAGCCAGAGAAGCGCACUAAAGAGGCUACAACAACAAUAUUCAAAGAGGUUUUGGGCCAUAGGUCAGGGUAUGUGAGGGGAUUAGGUGAGAUGGUUAUUCCAGAGUCAUCUAGAGGCCACAAUGAGAAAGUUAUUGCAGAAGUAAUAGAAGCUGCAGCAAGGCAUAAGGAAGAUGCAUAAAGGCAUGAAAAAGAUGUUCAAUGUUACAAGAGCAAACUAGAUGCAUUAACGGGGGACGUAAUGGUACUCUUGGAGCGGCAAGCAGAAUGUGAUAAGUUUAUGAAGGAAAUUAUGUCUUAGAUGCAGUCCCAAGGGGAGUCUCCUAGAGAGACUCAGGGAGGUGCAUAACCUCCAGUCAAGAAUAGUAAGAAAUUAUUUUUGGGAUAUUUUGGGUUUGGAGAUGAUUAGGGCGAUGACAAACCAAUAACAACUGUCUAACAUUUUGUUGAGAUGUACACUUUUUGGGGGUGUGUGCACCUGUUGGGUAAGAGCUAUGUUUUGAAGCUAGGUAACUUCAGAUAGCUUGUGUGUUUUCAUGGAAUUGAGAAAGCAAUUUUUACCACCUUGUUGUAAUGUGGUUUUAGUGGGGCUGUGUGCAACUUUUGGGAAGUGAAAUUUUUUGAAGCUAGAGAGGUUCAAAGAUAGAUUGUUUGUUUUCAUGGAAUUGAGGAAGCAAUGCUUGGGAGAUUGUCCAUGUCCAAUGGUAAUGUUGGAAAAUUCAAAGCCAGUAUGCUUCACACCAAGGGUAAAAUUGCUUUCAGAUGUGCAGGUAUUUUACCAUAUUUUUGCAAGUUUGAUUGAUUAAUGUAUACAGCUCUUUCUUAUCAUGAUCAUGUGUUCAAUAUUGGGGGAAUGUUAUGGAAUUACAAUAUUCUACGGCAUUGAACAUAUUGGGUUGUGCUUCUAACAAACUGUCGACUUACUUGCAGUUAUCAUCCUUUUAUAGCAAGCUUGAUGGUAUGACUUCUCCAUGUGUCGAGUUUUGAAGCAAGUGCGGGGGAAGCUAGGAAAGAAAUAUAUAUAUAUAUAUAUAUAUAUAUGGUGCCGACAACUAUGUCCAUUAGCUUGGAUUAAAUAUUGAUUGGUGGUUGACUAUGGGAGGACUUGAGGAUGGAUGUGCUGCAUGGAUAUUUUACAAGUUUCUGGUAGAAUGAAGACAAGAGUACUGUACGUAAGAGCUAGAGUACUAAGGGCAUGCUCAUCAAGCAACAAAGGGUGAUUUACGAUUAAAGAUCAAGUUUUGAGGUUCAUAUUUGUUGCACUUGUUCCAGGAUACAUAAUUGAUAAACAAUGAUGGAUGAAUAUUAUUAGGCGACUACUAGUUAGACAGGUUGUUGCAUCUUUAGUUAUGUAUGAUCAAUGACAUUGUGGCUAGCUUUGGCAUGUGAUCAUUGGGUUUGUCAUGAACGGCAACAUAUAUAGUCAAUAGGCUGUAUGAUGGCUUCAGGCAUGCGCUUGUCCCUGGAUGUUCUUCAUGAAUGGAUGAUGUUAGACUCUUUUGUUGUGUUAAUAUUCAAUAACCUACAUUUCUGUUGUGUUA